GAGGAGGGCUCGCAGGAGCUGAUAUGUCCGCCAUCUUGGAGCGUCGGUGAUGGUGGCGAGUGGUGGCUUUCCCGCCUGAGCGGAGGCAGCCUCGGGCCUGUGGCGGGGGAACGCGCUUGCCGAGACCAGCAUGUUUUGGAAAUUUGAUCUCCAUUCGUCAUCCCACAUAGAUACGCUUCUAGAGAGAGAAGAUGUAACACUAAAGGAGUUGAUGGAUGAAGAAGAUGUUCUGCAAGAGUGCAAGGCUCAGAAUCGCAAACUUAUAGAAUUUCUGUUGAAGUCGGAAUGUUUGGAAGAUUUAGUUUCAUUUAUUAUAGAAGAACCCCCUCAAGACAUGGAUGAAAAAAUUCGAUACAAAUAUCCAAACAUAUCCUGUGAGCUGCUUACAUCAGAUGUCUCACAGAUCAAUGAUAGGCUGGGAGAAGAAGAAUCCUUACUUGUGAAACUGUACAGCUUCCUCUUAAAUGAAUCUCCUCUAAACCCUUUACUGGCCAGUUUCUUCAGCAAGGUGCUAAGUAUUCUUAUAAGCAGAAAACCAGAACAGAUUGUGGAUUUUUUAAAGAAGAAACAUGAUUUUGUAGACCUCAUUAUUAAGCACAUAGGGACCUCUGCUAUCAUGGACUUGUUGCUCAGGUUACUGACUUGCAUAGAACCUCCACAACCUAGGCAAGAAGUGUUAAAUUGGCUAAAUGAGGAAAGAAUUAUCCAGCGGCUUGUGGAAAUUGUACAUCCGUCUCAGGAUGAAGAUAGGCAUUCAAAUGCAUCACAGUCACUCUGUGAAAUUAUUCGCCUAAGCAGAGACCAGAUGUUACAAGUACAGAACAGUACAGAACCGGAUCCACUGCUUGCAAGUCUAGAAAAGCAAGAAAUCAUAGAGCAGCUGCUGUCUAAUAUUUUUCAUAAAGAAAAAAAUGAAUCUGCAAUAGUCAGUGCAAUCCAAAUUCUGCUGACCUUACUUGAGACAAGACGACCAACAUUUGAAGGCCACAUAGAGAUUUGUCCUCCAGGCAUGAGCCAUUCAACAUAUUCAGUCAGUAAAAGUGUUUUAGAAGCCAUAAAAGCACGACUUUCAUCCUUCCAUGAACUCCUACUUGAGCCUCCAAAAAAAAGCAUCAUGAAGACAACAUGGGGUGUAUUGGAUCCACCUGUGGGGAACACACGUUUAAAUGUGAUUAGAUUAAUAUCUAGCCUAUUACAAACAAAUACAAGCAGUGUGAAUCAGGAGCUUAUAGAGCUUAACAGCAUAGGAGUUAUACUGGACAUGUUCUUCAAAUAUACAUGGAAUAACUUUUUGCAUACUCAAGUGGAAAUUUGUAUUGCAUUGAUUCUUGCAAGUCCUUUUGAAAGCACAGAAAAUGGCACAAUUACAGAUCAGGAUCCCAAUGGGGACAAUCUUUUGCUGAAACAUCUCUUCCAUAAGUGCCAAUUAGUAGAACGAAUACUUGAAGCAUGGGAGAUGAAUGAGAAGAAACAGGCUGAAGGAGGAAGGCGGCAUGGCUAUAUGGGUCAUUUAACAAGGAUAGCAAACUGUAUUGUGCAUAGUACUGACAAGGGGCCGAACAGUGCACUAGUCCAGCAGCUUAUUAAAGAGCUUCCAGAAGAGGUCAGAGAGCGAUGGGAGACAUUCUGCACAAGCUCUUUAGGAGAAACUAAUAAAAGGAAUACAGUGGACCUAGUUACUACCUGCCACAUUCAUUCUUCCAGUGAUGAUGAAAUUGACUUUAAAGAAACUGGCUUCUCACAGGACUCCUCCUUGCAGCAGGCCUUUUCUGAUUAUCAGAUGCAACAAAUGACGUCCAAUUUUAUUGACCAGUUUGGCUUCAACGAUGAGAAGUUUGCUGAUCAAGAUGACAUCGGCAAUGUUUCUUUUGAUAGGGUGUCAGAUAUCAACUUUACCCUCAAUACAAAUGAAAGUGGUAAUAUAGCCUUGUUUGAGGCAUGCUGUAAGGAGCGGAUACAGCAAUUUGAUGAUGGUGGUUCUGAUGAAGAAGAUAUCUGGGAAGAAAAACAUAUUGCGUUUACACCAGAAUCCCAGAGGCGUUCCAGUUCUGGCAGCACAGACAGUGAAGAAAGUACGGACUCUGAGGAAGAGGAUGGAACAAAACAAGACUUAUUUGAAUCACAUACCAAUACAGAGGACAAAAUGGAAGUAGAUUUAAAUGAACCACCAAACUGGUCAGCUAACUUUGAUGUACCGAUGGAGACUGCACAUGGUGCCAGUCUGGAUUCUGUUGGGUCUGAUGUGUGGAGUACGGAAGAACCUAUGCCAGCAAAAGAAACUGGCUGGGCUUCCUUUUCAGAGUUCACAUCCUCUCUGAGUUCAAAGGAUUCCUUAAGAAGUAAUUCUCCUGUGGAAAUGGAAACUAAUGCAGAGCCCAUGGAUCCCUUGAGUGCAAAUGUAACUGCUCUUGCAACACAGCUGGAGACCCCAGGAAGUGUUGCUAUGGAGGCCAGCUCAGAUGGAGAGGAUGAUGCAGAAAAUGCAGACAAGGUAACUGAAACAGUAAUGAACGGCAGCAUGAAGGAGACGCUGAGCCUUACUGUAGAUGCUAAAACUGAAACAGCUGUCUUCAAAAGUGAGGAAGGAAAACUGUCUACCUCGCAGGAUUCUUCUUGUAAAUAUGUGGUGGAGGAGAGCGCAGAGGUUGCAGAAGAGGCUCCUUCUACUCUACAACCUACUAGCAGCAGUCCAGAGCAGAGGGAAGAAAAAAGCCUUGGAUACUAGGCCUCAAGUAACAAGCUGCCCAUCUAAGCCAACAGAGGGCUCUCCUAGCUAGCAGUUGCUGGGAUUGCUUUUGAGUUCCAGUAAACCUCUGCAGGACUCCUUCUGGUGAACCCCGCUGGUCCAGCAGAGCUCGGUGCUUUCUCUAAAGGUGGCUGUCACAGCAGAUCCUCAUGGGAGCGCAGUAUGAAUAUCUGGAUGAAUUUAAUCGAGCUUUUGGGGCUCCAUGCAUGUAUGACUGGUGUGAGGAGUCUCCUAGGACUGACCAACGCACCCUUUUAGGAGAGACUUCUGUUAAUGGCCCUGUAUGAUAUGUGAUGUCUACUGCUGUUGGCUGAAGAAAAUGAACUGAUAUCCAGGGGUUUGAGUGUUUCUUGAGGAUUUCAUCUAGAGCCUGUUGAAGCCAGUCACUGCUGCACUAAUUUCGCAAGGGAUCAGGACCAGCAACAUUUAUAUUCUAGAUUUUAAGACAUUGUACAGAAAUAAGUGUAAAAAUAUUGCACAUUGAGAAAUACCAAUAAUUUUUGCGUAUGUUUAUAUUGUAUUGUUCUAAAUAAUGGGUGGCCUGUGAAAUAAGACCUUGCCACCUAUGUAAUGACAGUAGUGUUACUAUAGUUAAAAUGGCUGUAAGAAUAGUUUUAUAAAAAAGUGAAUACACAAAUCUAAUGUAUUUGAGACAUAACUAUUUGACAAUUAGUGUGACCAAAGUAUUUAGCAGUUUUCAUACAUUUUUCACCUUGUAAAAAGAAGAAAAAAAAAAAACUGAAUUCAUGUUUCUUCCAGGUUGGCAAAGAAUUGUAGAACUGAAAUGCCCUAUAAAUGUUAUUUUGGUUGUUUUAGCUUACAAAAGUGAUUUAAAUAAGAAUUUUUGGUGUUCAGCAUUUUACAACAGGUUUUUUAAUUGGUAAUUGUUUUCUGUAUUGUUUAAAACAGAUCAAAAUGUAAGUCUAUUGGUAGAGAUUUUAAGUAUUUAUUGCUACAACUUAGUUGACAAAUUGAUGUUACUGUAAAGCCAUAUGUUCUGUUAAGUCUUGUUUGCUUGAAACAAUACCUUACAGGUGAAACACUAGAAUAUUUGAAGUGCACAUGGCUUGUUGUGUUUAAGUGAUUCACCUGCCUUUUAACCCGUUCACCAAGAUUUACUUUAAUACCAAGCAUUAUACAAUGGAACAUUUCCAAACAAUCUGCGUAUUUAAAACGCUGUAAUCCUCUUAGACAAGUCAAGUAAAUGAAAUGCCCGUGCUGCUAAUGUAAUUACAGUACAUGCAUUUUAAAAGUAUAUAGUGUUUUUUAAUACAAAUUUUGGCAGCAGAGCAUGUUAAUUGUUACUUUCACUGUACUGAUCUGUGUGAGGCUUUCAUUUGUAUGUUCUGAACCAGUUUUUUCACAGCUGGUUUGUGUAUAUAUAUAUAGUGAUUAUGGAAACUAAUUCUGUGUAAUUUAUAAUUUUCUAUGUCAGUGUAAAAUUCCAACAGCCUUCUCAAACAGAAGCAAUAUACUGUAUAUUGCCACAUUGUCUGGUGAAAGGGUUAAAGUACUUCACCUCCUGCACUUUUAGAUGCAAAUCCAUUUUUAUUUCUGUAAUAGUUAUAUUCAUUUAUUUUUACAUCAUUUGUUUUCUUGACCAGUAUUUAAAGCCAAAAGGAUACUCUAAACAAUGGCCAAUGAUUUAUUUUAGAAAGUGUCCCAAGCAACGUGCCUAAACAUUACAUUGCAUACAGAAAUAAAAAAACAAAUGUAUAAUGGCAUUGCCCUUAUUUCUUCCUGUCUUGCAUUUCCUUCAGCAAGCUUCAUUGGGAUUUGUCACUGCAAACUGUUAUAAACUGAUCAGUUGUAUGAAAAUGGAGGAAGAAAACAAGAGCAACUAUGGUUACCUUUUAUUUGUGUAUAAAUAAUGGAAUCCAUUGAGUUUGCAAAUUGUUCCUCCUUGAAUUCAGAAUUACUUCCAGAUCAGCUUUGCCAAAACUAUUUGUAUUGCAUUGAGUAUUUUGCUGCAUUACUAAAAGAUAGCAAGGUUGGCAGCUGUCCUCUUACUGUGUUCUGGUCUGCUAUUGAACAAGCUGUUUUGGAGCCCAGGCUGCUUCAUUCCUUUCAACAGUGAAUUGGAAUCCAAGUAGAAAUACCCAAUACGAGUGAGCCAUGUUGCCUGCGGUUUGGCAAAUCUGUUAAGGUUUAUCAUUUAUUUUUUCUGUUCUUGAACAGUACCAGCCCACUACCCAGUUUGUACUGGCACUCAAGAAUGAGGAAGGGGAGUAUGUUGUCCCCCUUUUUUCUGUUCCUGAACUGUAGUAUCAGUUGAGUGGUGAUGGGAAACGUGUUAACUGGAAUUUCCUCUUCAGUGCCGUUUGUCUUCUGCUUAAACGGUGCAAAAGGGAGGUUUGCAAUGGUGCAAAUGGAGGCAAACUGGGCUGUCCAACCUACUGCCGAUUCCAGCAGUCUUGAGGGUUCAUCCUAGCUCUUGCAUAGAAAGAGUUUUAGCAACGUGUGCAGGAUGUGAGGUAAGCCUUGGAUUAAUGUGGGUAUGAUGUGUGAGAGCUUACUUCAAGAGGCUCUGUAAUAUGAUUUGUACAAACUACAAAGAGGGUUUGUAUUGCCUGUAAUGGGAAUCCUGAACUUGAAGGGGAAGCUUUGGUGGGGGAAGGGGACACUUGGAAAUGCAUACAUACUUCCCCCCUGCCCCCAGCAAUUUAUACUGCUCUUUUAUAGGCUUAGGAAGGUUGGGAGGUAUUUGGAGAGUUCUCCUGAAUGGCUGUGUUUCCAUUCAGUUUACUCACGGUAAACUUGUCUUCUCACUAAAUGUUAUUUUAGUGCAGUUGUAAGAUAGAUUAAACUCACAAAUCUGCACAGAUUGAUUUGAGUUCCUGUAGCGCAUUUAGCUGCGGUUAAGAUUAAAUAAAUGUCCUUUGUUGGUGUUGAAAUAAAUGUAUUAGAAUAUUUCAGAUGCUCCCUGAAAUGGUUAGAGGGGCAGUCACUUAAUACUGCUUUCAGUUGAUGUCCAAGAAUGAUGGUGGAUUUAACCCUCUGGUAAUUCUCUGGGGUUUUUUUUAAGCUUUUUUAAAGCUUUUUACUUAAGCAGGAGUGUGUUGCAAAAGUAGCCAGACCAGCAGUAACUGCCUCCUUUCUCACAUGUGUGUCUGUUAAACAACAGAGGGUGAAUCUUGCCUUGUUGACCAGUUGCACCAGUGCAAACCCCCCCCUUUUUUUCCCCCUCUUCCCUCCCCCCCCCUUUUUUUUCCUUAAGUGUAAGCCUUAUGCAAGAUUUCAUAGCAGAACUAUUCUGUUUAAAGUAUAAAUUGUUUGACUUGAUAAGCAAUAUGAUCAUCUUACUAAAUAAGCAUUCCCCCUGUUUGGCAAACUGGUAGGUAGUCCCUGGGAAGACAACAAGAUAGUAGAUGUUCUCAUUACAUCUUUGCAAAGGUAUCCCAUGCUUUUGAGACGAUCAUUAGUUCUACCUUUUGCCAGUAGAAAAUUUGUAUCUACCUCUUAAAAAUAGUGUAUUGUAUCAGCUGCAUACUCCUGUGGAAACUUACUGCGACGUUGAUUCAGAGUGUGAAUUCCAGCAAGGAAGAGCAGUGAUGUGGAAGGUGAAUUGGGUCCAGUUACUGUCUUUCAUUAUGAAGUUAUUUCUCUAUUUAAAUUAGCUUUAAUGUCCUUGGAGAUGCUUUGUUUUCUAUCAUGCAACUUACGUAUGCUUAAGCAGAUCACUUUUGACUGUCUCAAAAUAGUAAGGUCUCUUUCCAUGUAGCGUGAAUGCUUCAAGUCUUGUUACAGGAAUGUCUGCAUUUUGUUUCCUGUACCAGGAAUGGAAACUGGAGUAAAAGUUAUUGCGGCAACAAAAGGUUGUUUUGCCAAAUGUU